GGAACGCCUUUUCUUCAUUUUUCUUUCUCAGAGAAAAACAAAAUGGCGAUUUCUAGGGUUUCUCAGAAUUCUUUGUGGAGAAAAUCUCAGCUUAGUGAUCUCUUUAGAAAGGAAAUAGGGUUGAUACGAAGCUGGAGAGAAAAGUGAGUGUGGAUAUUAAAAUGAAAUGUCUGGAAGAAGUUCAGGUGGAUGAUCUGGAGAAUGAGGAAUAUACCGAAUAUGUACUUGCUAAUCUUCGUACCUUAAAGAUGCUAGAAUUUCCAAGGAAGUUAAGCUGGCUGAAUGUGGACCUUUUUAUGCCGAAGUUUCCAUCAUCGGUCCUCAAAGUAGAGGAAUUAGCUCUCUUGAACCAUUUUUUGUACCAAUUUUAGAGAGAUGGAUGCUUUUAGAGGAAGG